GGGGCUCGAUCCCAGGAGCCUGGAGCAUGAGCUGAGCCGAAGGCAGACACUUAACUGACUGAGCCACCAGGUGCCCCUUCAUUGGAAAUUUCUAAAGAAUCUUUUCAGUUUUGAGUUACUGCAAGGCUGAGGCUUCUAUCAAAGAGGAGGUUAAUACAGGAAUCAAGAGAAGAGUUAUUAUCAGCAGCAAUUUCUAACCAGGCAUGAUUCUUUGGCACCAAGAAGUACUGUUACUCAAGUACAAAGAAGUGUGGGUGGAAGAAGAUUUCUAUCCUGAGGCAGCAGUUCCGCUGGACUGACAACAGGGAGAGCCCCCAGAGGGGCUUUGCGUCAUUAAAUGUGUGCAAAACACCACAUGGAUACUGCUGAUCUCUACUUGUAAGAAGUCACAAGGAUAUUUCUGGAAUGGUGCACACUGGGAGCAGGCAAAGUGAUAAGGCUGUGAAGGCUGGGCUGAGCUAUCUGAAAAAAAGCUACUCGAAAACAUGUGAGGAAUUCAGGCACUCCAGGAAGACAAAUGAGCUCUCCUGGCUCUUCUAAGCAACAUCACAUUUCUUUGUUCAAGGGUCAGCCUGAAAAGGUUUCAGUGGCCACACUGUCACCUAAGAAGUCAGGACAGCUCUGCCACUGGGGCGCUCCACGGGGUGCAAUGCUGGCUGUUUAAAGUAAUUUAAUGGUUGUUUUUUUUUUUUGUGAA